UGAGGAAUAUUGGGCAAUGCCCGCAAGGGUGACCCAGCAACGCCGCGUGGAGGAUGAAUGUCGUAAGAUUGUAAACUCCUGUUAGAGGGGAAGAAUAGUACCGGUUGGACCGAUAUAUGACUGUACCCUCAGAGAAAGCCCCGGCUAACUACGUGCCAGCAGCCGCGGUAAUACGUAGGGGGCAAGCGUUGUCCGGAUUUACUGGGUGUAAAGGGCGCGCAGGCGGGAUAAAAAGUCAGUGGUGAAAUCCUACAGCUUAACUGUAGAACUGCCUUUGAUACUUUUAUUCUUGAGUUCGGGAGAGAGAGACGGAAUUCCAGGUGUAGUGGUGAAAUACGUAGAUAUCUGGAAGAACACCAGUUGCGAAGGCGGUCUCUUGGUCCGACACUGACGCUGAGGCGCGAAAGCGUGGGAAGCAAACA
rnacentral:rRNA from 1 species